ACUAACUUGGAAUAAACUUAAGGGAGUAAAAGUCCUUUACAAUUAGAAUUACUUAAUACAAAUGAAAGAAUUUGAAUACAGGAAAGUGUGAAAGACCUCUCAUAUUCAUAAACUGGAAGAAUAUUGUUAAAAUGUCUCUACUGCCCAAAAGGAUUCACAAACUCAAUAUAAUUCCCAUGAAAUACAAUGAUAUUCUUCAGGGAGCUAGAUAAAAACAACUCUAAAACUCAUAUGAAGUCAUGAAAGACCCUAAAUCGCUAUAGAAAUUUUGAAUAAAAGGAGCAAAACUAGAGGCAUCACAAUAUGUGAUUUCAAGACAUAUUGCAGGGCCAUAGUAGCCAAAGCAGAUAUUGGCAUAGAAACAGACCUAUACACUAAUGGAACUGGGUGAAGAUUGCAGAAAUAAACCCAUGUAUUCACAGCCAACUGAUUCUUCACAAAGGAGCCAAAAAUCACACAGAGAGAGGACAGCUUCUUCAAUAAGUCCACUCUUUGUUCCACUACCCACUGCCCUGUUUGCACCCAGCCCACACUUCCUGACCCGAGCAAAGGGCAGGGACAGAGUGGGAAGUUUCCCUGUGAAGGAUGAAAGGAUGUUAAACAGAAAACUCAAGAUUAGUACUACAGAAAAG
rnacentral:lncRNA from 1 species